AACGAUAUUAACACAAGAGUCUUGCAACACCCUUAACAACAAGUUUCCUUUGCAACAGGGCCAUAACAUCAACACUCUUGGUAAUUGCAUUGGUACCAAAACUUAUCUGUGACAAUAUCUUGAACAUUAAUGCCUUUAAGAGAAAUGCUCUUAAAAAUAUCUUUAGCAAGCAUUUCCUUAGCAAACACGCUCCUAGCAACAGAGAGUAAGUUUUGUAAGGGCAUGUGAAUAUGAAGGCAGAGACUGGAGUGAUGCCAAGAAAUGUGAAAGAUUUCCAGGAACCAUCAGAAGCAAGGAAAAACGCACGGAAAAGAUUCAGAGUGCUCAGAAGGAAGCAACCCUACCACCACCUGAUUUGGACUUCUAAGCUCCAGAACUAGCCCUGGCUGUGUUCACUGAAUGGAUCUAGUCUCUGAAAAUUCACCGACAUUUUUGGCUUGGCGCUGUGGCUCAUGCCUGUAAUCCCAGCACUUUGGGAGGUUGAGACGGGAAGAUUACGAGGUCAAGAGAUCAAGACUAUCCUGGGCAACAUGAUGAAACGCUGUCUCUACUAAAAACACAAAAAAUUAGCUGGGUGUGGUGGUGCGAGCCUGUAGUCCCAGCUACUCAGGAGGCUUAAGCAGGAGAAUUGCUUGAACCCAGGAGGCGGCGGUUGCAGUGAGCCAAGGUGGCGCCACCGCUCUCCAGCCUGGCAACAGAACGUGACUCCGUCUCAAAAAAAGAAAAAAAAAAAAUUUCAGGGGUAUUUAUGUAGUGACCUGUUAUUUGAUUUUUCAAUAACAUAAAUCUGUUUCAAGAAAAAGAAAUUUUAAACAAACUCUUAUGAUUUUC